rfam:Salmo salar isolate Sally breed double haploid chromosome ssa01, whole genome shotgun sequence.
UAUAUUUGCUACUGUACAUCGCUCUGGAUAAGAGUGUCUGCUAAAUGACGUAAA